UGCUCUGCCUGUGGCUCAGGCUCCUCCGUCUGAGCCUGUCCUGCCGAACUGGACUGUCCCCACUCAUGUGGUGCAAUAGAAGUGAGCGGUUCAGCAAAGAAUAUCGGGGUCUCUGUUCUAUACUGCGGCUUCAGGAAUGGGGAAGACCAAUGAGGGUAGACCUGGGUCGACCAGUCAAAAGUCUGCUCCGCCGGUGUGUAGUCGCCCUGAACAGACUGAUUCAUGGCCCGCCACUGCUCGUUGUAAUCCUGGGUCUCUGGAUGGCGUGGUUCCUCACCGCGGGGGUCGUCGUCGCAGGAACGUGAAACGCUUGGCCCUGAAGCGUCGGGCCCUGAAGUACUGGGUGGAGGAGACCGUCGCUGUGGAGGAGACCGUGGCUG
rnacentral:lncRNA from 1 species